GAUGAACGCUGGCGGCGUGCCUAAUACAUGCAAGUCGAGCGAACGGACGAGAAGCUUGCUUCUCUGAUGUUAGCGGCGGACGGGUGAGUAACACGUGGAUAACCUCCCUAUAAGACUGGGAUAACUUCGGGAAACCGGAGCUAAUACCGGAUAAUAUUUUGAACCGCAUGGUUCAAAAGUGAAAGACGGUCUUGCUGUCACUUAUAGAUGGAUCCGCGCUGCAUGAGGUAGUUGGUAAGGUAACGGCUUACCAAGGCAACGAUGCAUAGCCGACCUGAGAGGGUGAUCGGCCACACUGGAGCUGAGACACGGUCAAGACUCCUAAGGGAGGCAGCAGUAGGGAAUCUUACGCAAUAGGCGGAAGCCUGACGGAGCAACGCCGCGUGAGAGAUGAAGGUCUUCGGAGCGUAAAAAUCUGUUAUUAGGGAAGAACAGAUGUGUAAGUAACUGUGCACAGCUUGACGGUACCGAAUCAGAAAGCCACGGCUAACUACGUG
rnacentral:rRNA from 1 species